rnacentral:rRNA from 1 species
UACAGAGGGUGCGAGCGUUAAUCGGAAUUACUGGGCGUAAAGCGCACGUAGGCGGCUUGGUAUGUCGGGUGUGAAAUCCCCGGGCUCAACCUUGGAACUGCAUCCGAAACUGCCUUGCUAGAGUAUGGGAGAGGGAAGUGGAAUUUCCGGUGUAGCGGUGAAAUGCGUAGAUAUCAGGAGGAACACCUGUGGUGUAGACAGCUUACUGGACCACGACUGACGCUGAGACACGAAAGCGUGGGUAGCAAACAGG